GGAUACACACCUACCUACCGAGAGCCCUCCAAACAGAGACAUCAACACAGAAACCUCCGGAGAGAUAACCAGAUCUCCAUAUGCAAACCCAUGUAAAAAGAAACCUAGAGAAACAGAUGCCCAGAUGAAGAGGGGUUUCCAGACAGAUUCUUGGCUGACAUUUCUGUCAGUGGUGUGAAAGGACAUUUACCCAGAUUCUAUAGAUAUUUUGGUUAUGCACUCAACAAACCUACAAUGAAACUACCAGAAUACAAAAGCAAUUGUGAACUACAGAGAGUGCUAGAAAACAUUACGGGAGAGGGUAUAGUUUAUGUUAAUUAUAGAGGACUAAAGAGAUGUAGAAUAGGAGAGCUGAAAAAGCCUCCACUUCCAGUGGCUCUUAGAGUGUAAUUAGUCCAAGGGACAGCAAGCUGCCUUCUAGCAGAAUCGUUGUGAUCCCAAAGCCCACAUGACCGGGGCCUCUCUCUGGUCCUUUAUACAGUAAUUAAUAUUUAAAAGAUCUCGCUAAAGCCCUGUCAAGUCCUGAAGCAAGAUUUUGAAAAAUAAAAAAACUCAUAAAACACAAAAUAGAAC
rnacentral:lncRNA from 1 species